rnacentral:rRNA from 1 species
GUAGGUCCCGAGCGUUAUCCGGAUUUAUUGGGCGUAAAGCGAGCGCAGGCGGUUAGAUAAGUCUGAAGUUAAAGGCUGUGGCUUAACCAUAGUACGCUUUGGAAACUGUUUAACUUGAGUGCAGAAGGGGAGAGUGGAAUUCCAUGUGUAGCGGUGAAAUGCGUAGAUAUAUGGAGGAACACCGGUGGCGAAAGCGGCUCUCUGGUCUGUAACUGACGCUGAGGCUCGAAAGCGUGGGGAGCAAACAGGGAUUAGAUACCCUGGUAGUCCACGCCGUAAACGAUGAGUGCUAGGUGUUGGGUCCCUUUCCGGGGACUCAGUGCCGCAGCUAACGCAUUAAGCACUCCGCCUGGGGAGUACGACCGCAAGGUUG